GAACUGGGCUGAGUUUCUGUGCGUGUUGCAGUUAGCGUGAGCGAGGCAGAGGCGCUAUACCUCUUGAAGAAGAUAAGCAGUGUCGUGAUCGAUGGCGGCUUUUUUGUAAUGUCGUACUGAAGGGUGUGCUUUUCAUGGCGUGUGGCAAGAGAGGUCGCUUGAUGGUUUUGUGUUUCAAUUGAGCCGCACAUCUAGGAUGCUAGGAUGAAGAAAGUAGGAGACAUAUCGGGUCAAGCGGUGGCAGCAAGAGGAACUCCAUGAGGAAUCUCUGGUAGGAUGAUUCCUUACUUGGUUUCACCUGUUCCAGAUUCAAGUUCCCAAAUUAGGAUACUGUUUUUUUUCUUUGUUUUGUCUUUUACAACUUUUAGUUUGAUAUAUGAGAGGGCCUGCAGAAGGUGAUCAAUCAAUGGAGACCUAAUUCGUGAAUCUUGCCACACGCUGGCAGGAAUGAAGAGGCGAGAGAAAGUUGGGCCAGGAACAACCACUCUUGUCUAAAUAAUUAUCGUGUUAGAUAUCACAUCUCCAGGGAAGUAAAGGUUCCGUAGGCUAAAUGUGCUUAUAUACAUAUGUUUUGCCAUUUUAUGUAAAGGAUCUGGAGGUUCCCUGUAGGCUAAAGUUGCUUAUGUACAUAUGUUGUGCCAUUGUACAUUUGAGUCCCGUGGGGUGAUGAUCAAUGUGAAAUUGCAUCUUCCCAUGACUUUGAGUUGACAAGCAUUUAAGAGGUUCUUUUACUUGCCAGUAUCAGUGUGUUUUCGACUUGUUGUGUCUCUGCAUUCUUUCUCAGCGGUCUGGUUGGUUCUGAGUACAUAUGGUAAGAAUUUGGUUAAAUUUUGUGUUCACUUUCUUCACUGCUUCAUAUCCAAAAAAAUCAUGUAAAUGAUUCCAUGUCACUUUUGUGGAAAACUGAAAACUAUGAUGAUUUGCUUGCAGAUUCUUUAACAUUGGAAAAUCGGAUUUGGUGCUCAGACCUGAAAUUCAGAAAAAAAAGAAAAAAAAGCAUUUGCUAGGUUCAACAAACGAUGACCUUCACUGCCAUUGUAAAAGGCCAUGUUGCACAAGUGUUUUGGGUUUCAAUUCAGGGAGGUGACACCUUGAUGAAAUAUUUGCUCUACAGUAGGUUAGUACAGACUUAUUGGAUCAUAUUUUCCACAAGUAUGUCCACCUUCCGCACAAUGAAUCAUAACCCUGAAUUGUUAUUAAAAAACAUAUCUGUGAAAUCUUACAUUUGUUAGCUGUCAUACAUACUUACUGUUCCUGGACAAUUCCAAUUUUUGCUAAAUAUGCUAAUCAAAUGUUCUAUUUAAUCAUGGCAGAAAUUUCAACAAAAUUAGGCCUUUCAGUACUUGACAUUUUUUGACUAAUGGCCAUUUGCUAUUUUGUUGCUGUUUGGAUUGUUCGGGUAUUGGAAGUUUUGGGUUCCUCAGAACUAUUGGUGCUUAUCUACAAAUUUGAUUAUGCUUAUCAUUUUAGAUUUUCUGGUUCUCAGUCGAACAAUACCCUUGAUAAAGCUACACGGUGGAUGCUAUUCAUUAUGUAAGGUGAGCUUCUAUGACUUGAUUUAACCUUUCUAGAUUAUGUAACUGAAUAGAAGAACUUUCUGAUAUGUGUAUUUGUAGAGUUUGCUGAUGUUUGAUGCGAAAUAUUGGUGGCCAAAAGGUUGUUAUGGUCAGGUCGACCUGAUUAUUAUGUUCAUCUGUCUACACCUCCUCCUGUGGUAUCCAGUUGCUCGUGUACUGGUCACCUCCUCAUGGUAGACGCUAACAAAUGCUCCUGCUUGUUGAAAAUGCCUGAGACGAGUCACUAACCGAGCCUAAUCAAAUAGCAGAGAAAUAAUUUUACGACGGUACAAAAAUGUAGAACAAAUCAAGUAGAAGAAGAGACAUAACGCACAAAAAUCUUUUGAAAGGAAUAUCAGUUUCAUACAUUAUUUGUAGUGCUAUAUAUAUAGUGCAGGUUCAGGCCUAAUUUAUUAUAGGCAAACCGCACACAUCUGCUACUCUACCAGGAUUAAUUUGUCCUAGCAAAAGAAAUCACAUCAUGAGCAAAAGAACGAAUUCGCUACUAACAUUUCAAAUCAAGAUUUAUCCAUCUAGCAGUCCCAAAAUAUAUUUCUCUUCUCAUUAUUGCAGCAUCCUUUUAUGUACCAACAAUGUGACACUACACUAUAAUAGAUUUUCACAGGCCAUGGAAAAAUAAAAAAUUUGACAAUCAGUAGCCUCCAGUCUUUAAUAUAAUUCUGCGUGCACUUUGGAGCUAUUGGAUGCCUGAAUGUGUUGCGUUCCUCCAUUGUGCCAUGUUAAGAAUUGUAGCCUGAAAGGAGGGAAAUAUUGUAUAGAGAUUUUCCAUCUGUACCUGAGGUCUAACCAGGCCUAUAGUUUUUUGGUUUUGUUUCUUGACCUGCUGUUUUCUUUGGUGAUCCUUCUUGUUCAUAUAAACAGUACCACACUUCAAAUGGUUAGAAAUGUUUCUUUUGUUGCAGUAAUUCUUUUUUCAUUGUCAAGGUUUCUUCAGUUAGUCACCUCUGUGGUUAUUUUUCUUCUACAGUGUGCUACAUGUUUAUAUCCUAUUAGUAGCACCAUGCCUCCCUGUCGUCCUAUUUGUCAAAAGCUCGGUACAACCAGUGGCGAGGUGCCUCACCGUCAUGUUGUUCAUCGAAAGCUUUCUUAAUAGGAAGGCAUAUAAUGCUCAGUAAAUACAACCUUAAGUUGAUGACCACUUGAUAUGUGGUUCUCCUGUUACAGUGCUUCGAUCCGUUAAUACUCCCUCUGUUACGAAGGUUAUGUGCAGUGUGUCCAUGCCAUUAAAGAAUUUAAUAUUUCUUUGAACUUCUGGACCAGAGAUUUUUUUUUCUUUUCGAGAAAACGCGAAGGACCUUUGUGCUUCAUUGCAUUGGAAAGGUAGAGUACAGUUACAUCCUCCUAGGAGACAAGGUUACAUGGCCAGCAGAGAUCAAUGGAAAUCCCAGGAUGGUAGCAAAACGACCCUGAGCACUUGAGCCCGGGCCUUUGCCCAACAUCUGGCCUCAUCUCUGAUCUUGUCCAGAGCUCAUCGAGCGAGGGGUUUACAUGGUCGAACACACACGCGUUCCUGUGUUUCCAGAUCAUCCACGACACGAGUAGUGCGAUGGAUUGCAGAGCCUUGCGAUGGUCCAACUGGUUCUGGUCAUAGCAAGCUACUACAUAAAGGUACGACAGAAUUUUGUUGACAGAGCUUGCUGAAAAUAUCGGUCCUCAUGUAAUCUAACUGUUACACCUCUUAAGUCCAAUUAGGAACUCUUUCAUUAUUGGAUCUAAAGUGUUUGCUAUGAUCAGUUAAUACUCCCUCUGUUCAUAAAUACAAGACGUUUUAGAGACAAGUUGCAUAUUUAAAGAAGCAUCCACUUGUUGUAGAAAGCAUGUUUUAUGCUUCUGUACCAGAUAAGAUGUUCAGAUGGCAUCAAUAUAUCAUCAUGUCUAGGUUAUUAUCAGACAAGCUGCAUUUUAAAUAAUUAUCCAUUUGUUGUUCCCCUGUUUUAGUAAAAUUUUAUAUUUGCAAAGCACAAGUUCUGUUCUGACUACUAUUUUUAUUGCCAGCCAACCUAUAUCUUCGACCUUCUCUUGCAUAGGGCAGGACGGCAGGCAAUGGUUCUUGGUUGCUUUCAAAAUAAUCGACACCUCUUUAGGAGUACGGACAAUAUUGCCAAUGCAUAUAGUCCAUGCUUUUAUCUUUAGGAACUUUACAUCAUCAUCUUGUUUAAGCAUCUAUAAUAUAUAUCUUUAGUAACCUAUUUAACAACGCUUUUCAGCUUUUUUCCAUGUUGUAACAUACUUCCUGUGUUGUGUAAUAAUCUACUGAUGGCCAGUUACAGCUCCAUUUCACUAUGGACAUUGCAUAUGAUGUUCUUUAUUCUCAGCAAAGCAAACAUCUCAUACUUUUCUCUACAAAAACUAGGCGUUGCUGAAGCUGGAGUCAUGAUGGCGUUAGUAACCCUGGUGGUGCUUCUUAUAUGGCAAACCAACUUGUUCUUGAUUAUCCUAUGGGUUAUUUAUCCAGAUGUUGCAUAUAGGAGUAUUGUGGAGCUAAUAAUAUUUGAAUCUUAGCUAGCCUACUAUUUCAAUUUGAGUUCAAAAAUUACAAAUCUCAGUGUUUGUUUUCAGUUAUCAAUCAUCUCCCCUUCUCCUUUUUGGGUCACUUUUGAUAGCUCCCUUCAUUCUGUACAUAUUAGUUGCUGCCUCAAGCCUUGGCUCUUUUUCUAGACUAGGCCUCAAUUUACUGGAAAAUGCAGUCUUCAUUUAUUGAGUUAUAUUUUUGUCUUGCUUUCUUCCAGGUCCCUCUAUUUUUGACUUGCUUUCUUCCAGGUCCCUCAUGCAGUAGUUCAGAAAAAAAAACUAUCCAAUGGAGAUGAUGCAUGAGGAGCAGCAAGGUCAUGAUCCAUGAAGCCCUAUGUUGUUCUUUUUCUCACUGGUGAGUUUACCUUUUUAUGGUUGGAUGCCAAAUAGCCAAGCGGACGUUUUUCGUAGAUUAGUUGCUUAGUUUCAUAUGUUGAACUGCGUUAUCGAGUGCAGUGUGUAGGCUCUUUCUAGAUUGUUCAGCAGGCGAUCAACGCGGCACAUGUGGAGGUUGCGAGAGCUGUGAAUGGCAUCGGUCUUGUCAUACUUAUGAGCAGGAGCACGGGCGACAUUACUUUUCAUGCCACUUUGAGCAGCCGAGAUGUUGACUGUUGCUUGAAUCCUGAGAUUGAUAUCCCCGUUGAAGGGAAGGGAGACCUGUUUGAGUUCUUGUAUGAAAGGAUAAAGAAGGCGUUGGUUAGGAGUUGAUUACCCGGACUGAUGACCAGAACUGAGAGUAGGAUGUUCCUUGACGUUGGCCUUCUUCUAUAAAGUUUACAUGCAACUCUCCUCCAUGGUUAAGAAAAUCCAAUUUAAAUGUUUUAUUUCUUUGACGGUUACUCAUUUCUCUUACCAUUGUUGUAUCAAAACAUUUGUAUUUUCGUUGAUGGCCGCUUGGGCUCAUUU